rnacentral:rRNA from 1 species
UGGGGAAUAUUGCACAAUGGAGGGAACUCUGAUGCAGCGACGCCGCGUGAACGAAGAAGACUUUCGAGUCGUAAAGUUCUUUUAUAUGGGAAGAUAAUGACGGUACCAUAAGAAAAAGCCCCGGCUAACUACGUGCCAGCAGCCGCGGUAAUACGUAGGGGGCUAGCGUUGUCCGGAAUCACUGGGCGUAAAGGGUUCGCAGGCGGAAAUGCAAGUCAGGUGUAAAAGGCAGUAGCUUAACUACUGUAAGCAUUUGAAACUGCAUAUCUUGAGAAGAGUAGAGGUAAGUGGAAUUUUUAGUGUAGCGGUGAAAUGCGUAGAUAUUAAAAAGAAUACCGGUGGCGAAGGCGGCUUACUGGGCUCAUUCUGACGCUGAGGAACGAAAGCGUGGGUAGCAAACAGG